AAUCAAUUACUUUGUUCUCCAUCUCCUAUAAUGGGGAUACAAUGGGUCGGACUUUGUGAAUGAAGCUAGAAAUCACUAAACGUUGAAAUAACAGCACUAUCAGCAGUAAAAAAUAUUUAAUAAAUAUUCACAAAAACGUUUUCGAUAUUGGAAGUUCCAUCGCCAGUUGCGAACUACAUUAGUUAGAACAAGGAAGUGUUCUUACAAAACUGAACAGAAGAACGUGCAAGUUCAAAUUUUUAAAUUUGGAACAUUAUAAAUAUUUAUAAUUUAUAAGUAUUACAAGAAUUUACAAGUAGGAUAAUAUGGGAAACUAACGAUAUAAGUUUUUAAAUUAAUUCUAAUUUACAAAUCAGCGUUAUAAACACUAGGUUACAAAUAUUUUGGAGACCGGCUAUAAUGUAAAAUAAAACAUCUUAUGGUAAACUCGUCUUGGCACAGAAGUUGGGAAGUAUGUCAUUAUAAUAAUUUGGGAUUUAUGUCAUAUUUCUUCGGGCUGUGUAUUUCCAAGCUGUGCUCGGGGUGUCUGCCUGUCUAAUGUUGAUAACGUUGUAGUUUUGGCUACUUCUUAAUAUCUCCAAUUUUUCCGUUAUUGGUAGAGCUUUAUGGUCGUUAACAUGUUUCACAACUUGGGCGUUUUGCAGGAAACCUCUGUUCUUUCAAAGGCUCUUAGAGCUAGAGUAGUAUUAAGAUUAUCUUUUGAAACAUUGUCUUUAUGCUCUUUUAACCGGUCUUUAAAAUUUCGAGCCGCUGCCCCUACAUACACUUCUGGCCUAUUAUCAUCAAUGUUAUGUAUCGGGAUCUAUGAAGCAAGGACCUCGUCAUCUGAGUCGUCUUCAUCUUGG
rnacentral:lncRNA from 1 species